UUGCAGCAGACUGCUUUCUCCUACAUUCGAAGAGGAGAUGAUGUGUUACAUGGAUGUUCUUAUCACGUAGCAUGGCGAAUAGAAUAUUAAAAUCAGGAUAUUGUAAGAAGUAUGAUGUGUCCAGUAUUUCAAAAUUGAAUCUUAGUGAUGCUAUAUUUACAGCAAAAAAUCAAAUUAAGUUUAAAGAAUGUUUUCCAAGUGCCGACAUUAUAUACAUUUUUGGUAAGCCGACGAAAAUUUCUUGGAACCUUUUGUCGUAAACGAAGUUGUUAAUCGAACCAUUUAAAUUUUCUUAGAAAUGACCGAAUUUUGUGAUAUUAUAAUGGCUCACAAGUCACAUCACAGAGCAGAUAGCGUUGGAACGGUAAGAAAAACGCUCAAAUCAAAAUCGUCGAUUUAAAAACUAGAUGUGCAUUGGGUCCAAACAAGAUAGGUGAAUUCUUGCGAAAAUGAUUAACUAUGAUGAGGGAUUAUUAUAAUAAUCCUGAGGCAACAAACGAUACGAUCGAUGAUGAUGAAUAGUUGCAUUCAAAUGAUUUCGCUUAUUACGACAAGAAUGGCGGACUUUUCAUUAUCGAUAGAUUGAAGGAAACAAUGAAGUAUAGGGGAAAUCAAAUCUCUCCAUCCGAAAUUGAGAAUCUUUUGCAAACUCAUCCCGAUGCUCUUGAGGUUGCAGUUGUGGGUAUUCCCCAUAUGCUAGAUGAUGAGCAUCCCAUCGCUUUUGUUACCAAAGUUCUCGGUUUGAAGGUACCACUUUAUAGAAAAAAUUAAGAAAACUUGAUGAGAAUUUAGUUAUUAAAUUCUGCCCAACAUUUAGGUAACCGAACGAGAGCUUCAAAAAUUAAUAGCGAAAAAUAUAACGGAUUCCUAUCAUUUACGAGGUAGUGUGAAAUUUUUA